UCGCUAUUUUAAAAACUCCGCCUGUAUACUUUUAGGCGCAGGCCACCGUACCUAUCAGUAGUGUAAAACUGUUUCUCAAUAAUAACUAUGUCUAGAAUACGAUUUAUAAUUUAAGGCGGUCUGUUUUCCUGGUUUUACAUUUCAGUAGUAGACAGGAGAUUUUUAAGGGCACAUCAAGAUGUAGAAUAACUUUUAGUCCUGCUAGCUUAGCACGGGGUCAAGACGUGUACCUACGUCAAAACAUGACAAAAGUUCUCCGUUGCGCUUGUUCUCAAGAACGCGCGAUGUGAGUGAGCGCGAUGCAAUACUUAUGUCAAUAAUCACGACUUAAUAUGCGCGUCUUGCGCCCCGUGCUAGCCCUUCUGAAUUUGGCCUACAUUAUUUAACUUAAUUCUUUUUCCCUUUAACCACUUCCAUUUCAGUCUUACGCCCUGUGUGCCAUCAAUAUUACAUUAACUACAAAGUCGACAGCUUCAUGGGGGUCACCAUCUAAGUAGACGAUUGCGAACGAACAAGAAUUGUCACGCAAAAGUCACGCUUAAUACAACGAGAUAGAGCCGUGGUUUGCGCAGCGCUCCCGGAACUUC